CACAUGGUGGAUUAGUGGUUAGCACGUUUGCUUCACACCUUCAGGGUCUGGGGUUCGAUUCCCACCAUGUGU